rnacentral:lncRNA from 1 species
GAAGGAAUGUUGAAGCUUUGGGGUCGGUUAGUCAUGCCCAUGGUAGGGUUGUGGCGAUGAAUAGUUGUAGUGCAAUGUCAGCGGGAGGCUGUAUUGUAUUUGGUGAAUUGAGUCAGGGGACACCAGAAGGCCGUGGAGUAGUUGAUAACCGCGCCAUUUGUGGUUUGUUGUGGGUAGCUGGAAGUGAUGAUAGAGGUCGUUUUGUUGGAAAUUGGGUAAAUCGACUUCUGGCUUUGCAGUAUAGAAAGCAGAUGAGGGCAAUUGUGGAUAACCCUUGUGGCCUUCAGAAAAGUUUAGUCUAUCUGUGGUGGAUAAAAGAAUAUUCACGGGCCGAGAAUCUGUGGAAUGGUUUCAGGGAAAUUUUCCCUGGAAGGAUUGGUGUAUAUUCUGAUGAAGUAUGAGGUUAAACCUUGUGGUUGAAGUUAGGUGAUAUCUCGUGCGGAAGGAGUGCGAAUUGGUUAGUGAGAAUGAAGGAUAAGCGACUAUUGUUUGGUUCGGGUAGUCAAUUGAGUGUUAAGUGACACCCGGAAGAGAGUUGCAGUCGUCAUUUUGGAAUUCGGAAAGGUC